UUUACCUACGGGAGGCAGCAGUGAGGAAUAUUGGUCAAUGGGCGGAAGCCUGAACCAGCCAAGUCGCGUGAGGGAGUAAGGCCCUACGGGUCGUAAACCUCUUUUGCCGGGGAGCAGUGCCCAGCUCGUGAGCUGGGAGGGAGCGUACCCGGAGAAAAAGCAUCGGCUAACUCCGUGCCAGCAGCCGCGGUAAUACGGAGGGUGCGAGCGUUAAUCGGAAUUACUGGGCGUAAAGCGCUCGUAGGCGGUAUGUCAAGUCAAGGGUGAAAUCCCCGCGCUCAACGUGGGAACUGCCUUUGAAACUG
rnacentral:rRNA from 1 species